CCCGACUGCUAUCGGAUUGAGAUUUAGCCAUGCGAGUCGAACGCUCCCCUGUUGCGGGGGGCGUGGCGUACGGCUCAGUAACACGUAGUCAACCUGCCCUGGAGACAAGGACAACCCCGGGAAACUGGGAUUAAUCCUUGAUAGGUCAUCUCAUCUGGAAGGAGAGAUGGCUUAAAGGGGUGCGCGGGCUUCUUCCGUGCAUUCGCUCCAGGAUGGGACUGCGUCCGAUCAGGCUGUUGGCGGGGUAAUGGCCCACCAAACCUGUAACCGGUACGGGCCUUGAGAGAGGUGGCCCGGAGAUGGACACUGAGAGAAGGGUCCAGGUCCUACGGGGCGCAGCAGGCGCGAAACCUUCGCAAUGCGCGAAAGCGUGACGAGGUUAAUCCGAGUGACUUCCGCUGAGGAGGUCUUUUGUCAGCUGUAAAUAGGCAGGCGAAUAAGGGGAGGGCAAGCCUGGUGU
rnacentral:rRNA from 1 species